CAGAACCGCCUCUCACACUGCAUCCACUUACCUCCACCUGCUCCUGAAGGUCAACAUCCCCUCCAAGAGUCUCCGGUAGGAGAGUGAGCAUCGCCCUGUGGUGCCAUCGCAGAAAGGCUGUACUACACAUUCAUCUGUUUUCAAGCUGCAGUGUCAGAUCUAUUAACUGAUCUGGGAUCAAAUGUGACCCUAAACUGUGAUCUUGAUGAAAAUGAUGUUUACUGGAUUAUACAGAAAACUUCAGAUCCUCCAACAGUGAUUCUACGAUCAUUUUCAACACUAGCAGCAUCUUACUUUAAUAAGUCAUUCAGAAGUAAAUAUUCAGUGCAGUUUAAACAUCGUCUGGUUAUUAAUAACAUCACUGCUAAUGAAUUAGGAGUUUAUCACUGUAUGAGCACACGCACACCUCCACAAUUCAGCAACAGCAGCAGAAUCUACAUCACCGAAGCAGAUCAACAAACUGUGUGUCAGAAUCGGACAGUGAUGGAGUGUAUUGAGCACAAUCAAACACAUCAUCAGACUAUCAUCAUCAUCAUAUCUGCUGUGAUGAACGGCCUUCUGCUCAUUCUGCUGAUCGGACUAGUAAAGGUUUUUGUUAUUGGGAAUAGAAGAUUCACAGAACAAUCAGAACAAAUUCAACAGACACAAGUUACCGAACAGCAUCAGGAUCCAGAGCAGCUACAGGUUAAUUAUGUGGAAACAUCAAAAUAUUAAAAACUCUUUUCUGGCUUGAUAAUGAUAUUUCCUUCUUGAUAAUUGUUAUUGGAGCCUUUAACAUCUGUUUUAUUUAAGGAUGUUUUAUUUUUAGCUUAAACACUUUAAAAUCAUUCUUUCUGUAUGCCUCUAUGGACUUUUCAAAGUUUCAUAAAAAAAUGCGCUCCAGCCAAAACAACACCACCUACGCUGCUCUACACCUGGCGAAAUCAUGAACGCCAAGGUAGGACUGAUCUCGUACUUAUUUUAGUCACUUUUUUAAAAGUACAUUCAGUUCUGAAACUUCUAACCACAAACUGUUUGACAGCAAAACAUUCAAAACAAUAACCAGCCGACCAUUAUAUAGGUAGUUUAUAAGUUAUAUAUAUAAGACCAUUAUAUAAGUAUUUUAAAUGUUCUGAGACAAGGGUGUAAAAACCACAAAGAAAUAAGCUAAAAUCAUCUACGUUUUAUCAAUUUGCAAUUUGUUUGUUGUUUUAUUCUGCUUUUAUUAUUAAAUACUGAAUGAAUGUCUGAAUGUUUUAUAGCCACAAACUAUUCCCAUUUAAAGUGAUGUGGCAUUAUAAUGUUUAUAAAUGUCUGCUUUAUAAUAGUUCGUUAAGAAGUUUUUGUUGACAAGUUCUCAUUUAAGAGUUAUGGUUAUGGUUUGUUUUGCAGCAACUGUAUUACUUUUUUUCUGUUAGCAAUUGUUGCAAUCUUAUCAACCAAACUUUGGUCUUGUAUCUUGAUGAAAAAUAGUUAGUUCUUAGAAUGAAAACCUUUGCACGUGACUUUUUAGCUUUUUGUAAAAUCUGAUUUAUUGAGUUUUCAAUGCUGUUGAUCUGAGAAGAUCGCAGAAUCUGAACAAUUUCCUAUGUGUUUUAAAGAUUGUUUAUUGCUUUAUGUAAGUGUGUGAUGAAUGGCUGUAAAAAUGAAAUAAACAUAUAAAACCAUCAGUUUUAAAAUUGUAUGUGACCUUGGAACACAAAACCAAUCCCAUUUUUCAAACUAAAGUAUAUAUUGUAUCAACUUUCACUUUUUGAAAAUCUGCAAUUUGAGGGUUAAAGAAAACCACCUGAAAAAGUUGUACAAAUGAUGUUACUAGCAAUGCAUAUUAGUGACCAAAAUUAAGGUUUGAUAAACAUGCAAAAGAAAAUUUACAAAAUGUCUUUACUGAACAUGAUAUAACUUAAUAUUGCAAUGAUUUUUUGGCAAAAAAGAAAAAUGUAUCAUUUUGAUGCAUACAAUGUUGGCCAUACUUACAAAAAUACAGAGCCAACUUAACUGGUUGUGUGGUCCAGGGUCAUUUAUUCAGAAAACAAAAUGUUUAUUACUUCUGUCUUUCUAUACCUUAAAUAAAAU